CAGUCGCCGCGGGAACACGAAGGGGGCUAGCGUUGCUCGGAAUGACUGGGCGUAAAGGGCGCGUAGGCGGAUGGCACAGUCAGAUGUGAAAUUCCCGGGCUUAACCUGGGGGCUGCAUUUGAUACGUGUUGUCUAGAGUGAGGAAGAGGGUCGUGGAAUUCCCAGUGUAGAGGUGAAAUUCGUAGAUAUUGGGAAGAACACCGGUGGCGAAGGCGGCGACCUGGUCCUUUACUGACGCUGAGGCGCGAAAGCGUGGGGAGCAAACUGGAUUAGAUACCCCGGUAGUCCCUGUCUCUUAUAC
rnacentral:rRNA from 1 species